UGCGUAGACGGUUAUUUAAGUCGGGUGUGAAAGCCCCGGGCUCAACCUGGGAAUUGCAUUCGAGACUGAAUAGCUAGGGUACGGUAGAGGGAAGCGGAAUUUCCGGUGUAGCGGUGAAAUGCGUAGAUAUCGGAAGGAACAUCAGUGGCGAAAGCGGCUUCCUGGACCAGUACCGACGUUCAAGCACGAAAGCGUGGGGAGCAAACA
rnacentral:rRNA from 1 species